UUAAAAGACCUGUGAGUGCAUCCUGGAUUACUUUUUUCUACAUAUAUAUAUAUAUAUAUAUGUAGAAAAAAGUAAUCCAGGAUGCACUCACAGGUCUUUU